AAGUAAUGGGUCUUGAACAACAGGUAAACUAAUAUAAAAUAUUGUUUAAGUUGAUAUAAAUUAUUCUAAAUUAAAUAUAUUUGUUAAAAGAUUGCUAUGCUGAAAGAUCAAUUAGUACAAGAACAUAAACGUUGGAAACAUUUUCAUCAGACCAGCCUUCAAACUGGCAGUGAAAUUCAAUUGUUACGUUCUGCCUUAGACCAGUCUUUACGAAGUAUUUCACAAGACCCCUAUCGAUUAGAACCAGAAACAACCAAAUUAGAUUCUACUUUGGAAUAUCAUUUAUCUCAAAGUCCAAGUAUAAUUUUAAAUACACCAUCAAAGUUAUCACGCUCUUCUUCACCAAUAUGUCGUCGUCCCAAACUAACGUCCAGUCCAAAACCGUCGUAAAAUUCAUCAAAUGUUGUUUUUUGUAUUUAUUAUUUUUAAUAGUACAAUGUAAAUAUGAAUUUUCACAGUAUUAUAAAAAGACAAUCAUAAUUGUGAUAAUCCAUCACUCAGUGCAAUUAUUAAUCUAUAAAUCAAAUUAUAUAUUUACAAUAUAUGUUGAAAUGAAAUUUAACU
rnacentral:lncRNA from 1 species